AAAAAAAAGAAAAAAGAAAAAGCCAACUCUAUGCUGCCUAUAAAGGAUUUACCUUAGCUUCAAAAACAGUAAUGGGCUGAAAGUGAAAGGAUGGAAAUAUACAUUUCAUACAAACAUCGUCCAGACAAAAAGUCAGAAAAAGAAACAUUAGAUUUGAACUGUAAUUUAAAUCAGAUGGACCUAACAGACAAAUAUUAAAUAUUUCUUCUAACAGCAGCCACAUGCAUAUUCUUCUCAAGCACACAUGAAAUACUCUAGGAUAGGUCAUACUUUAGGCCACUAAGCAAGUCAUAACAAAUGUAGUAAGAUGAAAAUGGGGCCAUUAAAGGGACUUUGGCUUUUACUAUAAGUGACAUAAAAAACUAAUGAGGAUUUUGAGUAGGGCAGUAAAAGCUCAAAAGGAAUUCCUUUUUUCUGAGUUCACUACACGUUCUAAUAAAAAUAUUCAGUGACUAAAUAAAAGUUAGUAUCCAUUUUAGCUGUUCUUAUACAUGUUUGAAGCUAAGCUUCUAUUAUUAUUUAAACAUGCCUCUAUCUAGUGACUAAUUCAUGACAGUCUUCAGCAUUAACUAUCAAUUUUAUUAACGGUUUCUCUCUCAAAAGUGAAAAAGUGGUACAUCAUUUCCUUGAAUUGUGAUAAUAAGAAAUAAAUGGAUAUUCUAAAAAUAUUUAGUCUGUGACUUUUCUCAAGGAAGACAUGAUACCACUGAUAACCUCACCUUGGUAGUCAACCUGUUCUCUCCCUAGUUUUGCCUAAUGUUAAUGAGAGAAUAUUAACAUUCUCUCUUUAUCCACUUACCUAUGUCAGUUAAGUCCCAGCAGGUUCCAAGUCAGCUUAGUGUAUCAGUAAUUUGAAAUAUAUAUUUCAUUAAAUAUGAAUAUAUAUAUAUAAUUGUGACAUCCUUUUCCUCUUUUAUGCCCUUUUUAUUUAUCCUUAUGUUGCAUUUAUCCAAAUUAAUUCAAUGGGGCAGUCUAACAAAUCUAGUUUACAUUUCAUUAAUUAUGGGCAUGUUAAUAACAACUCUUAACCCCAAACAUUACCACAGUUCAGGGACAAAGGUUAUUAAGGAGGAUAUAAAUUCUCUAUAUGUACUGGAUGGCUCCCAAGGAAACAGGAUUGGCAUGUUUUACUAUCAGUGUUAUCAGAGUCAUGUUGUAGGCAGCUCCCUUCUAUCAAGUCAACAAAUAAAAUAAUGGUAACUACCUUUUUUGAUGGAUAACAUGUUAGCCUCUG
rnacentral:lncRNA from 10 species